UAUAUAUAUAUGGAAGUACGGUGGAAGAUAAAGCAGUGUAAGUAGUUUGGGGUUUUGUUCUGGAGGACCAGCCUAAAUACCAUGUGACAAUCCUUGAAUGUUUUUGAACAGCACCAUGGCAUGGUGAAAAUCAAGUUUCAGAAAUAAUUAUUUGAUAAGAAUGUGGAAAAUAACUAUUUUCUUUCAACAAGAUAUGUUGACUACCUACCGUUUGCUAAGUGUGUGCCAGGCACUGAGGUUACAAAGCUAAGGAAAGCAGUUUCUGCCUUUGGAAGUAACUACUCUGUAGAAAAAGAUAUAUUAAGAGAAAAAAAUUUUUUUUUUAAUUUAGGUAAGUUCAGUGAUAAUGAUGUAGCUGAAAUGCUAUUAGAUCAUAGAGGAAGGGAACUUAACCUACAUAGGAAUUCUUGAGAAGGUUUUCUGGUGGAUGUGAUACCUUAAUAGCAUCUCAGAAAAUGAAGGAAUGUAGUAACAAAUUUGGAAGAGCAUUCCAGGCAGAGGGAACAGUAAAACAAAGACAUAGAAACAGAGGCAAACAUAUUAGGUUCAUACCACUAUGGGCACAUCUAGUUUGCUGUGUUCUAAAGCAAAGAGUAGUGUUUGAAGUUAACAAGGACUUUGUAUGCCUUUCUUGUGUUCAAGGUGAGAAAUGCUGCAGGCCUGAACGAGGGAAUUUGUGGUAAGGAUGGUGAGAAAGGGGUAGUUUCUCUUAGAAAACGAAGGGGUAAAAUCAUUAGAACUAAGUGAUUGGAUUUGGGGGAUGAGGAUAAAAGAGGAGCCCCAAAUUGCUCUUAGAUUUCUGCCUGGUAUUCAGGUAGAUUAGUAGCACCAUUAACUGAGAAUGGACAGGAGAGAGUAGCAAAUCGGGAGUGAAUGCAGCGUUGGACAUUUUGACAUCCAGGUCCAGCAGACCUUAAGAUAUACAUCUUAAUAUCUUAACAUAUAAUAUAAUAUCUAUAGUGUCUUAAAUAUAUCUGAAGCAUGGGAGAGUUCAGAAUUAGAGACUUUUGGGGUCAGCUGCCCUGAGUGCCGUUUUAACCACAAGUGUGCAUCAAGCCAUGUCGGUGGUUCUUUGAAGCAGAAUGAAAAUGGUACAUAGAGGAACAGUAGUGUUUAACCAGUGGUAGAGGAAGUCUUACAAAGCAGACUGAUCAUAACUUGUCAAAAGCAAGACAGCCACGAGUAGUAUCACAGAACUCAAGAGAAGAUUUUAUGUUCAAAAUGAAUAAUAUCAAAUGUUCUAGUGGAGGCUAAUUAAAUAUGUACUGAAACCUUGACAGUAGAUAUGACAAUUUGGUGAUCUUUUUUGUUCUCAGGAAAAAGGGAAGGAGUCAGGGCAUAGCUAGAGAGGUACACAGAAUUGAAGAAAGGAUUUUGAUAAAAAUGAAGACUGAGCAUGUUUAUAUACUGAAGGUGACAGCAGCUAACGUUUAUUGAAGACAUACUGGAUUCCAGGCCGUCUUCUAAGGGUUUCAUGUAUUAACUCAUUUAUUCCUCACAGUAACCCUAUAAAGUAGAUACUCUUUUCCUCAUUUUCCUAAAGAGGAGAGUUAACCACAGAGAGAUUGUCACAUGGCUGACAACUGGUAAAAGAGCAGAAUCAGAAUUUGAACCCUGGGGUUCUGACACAAUAGGCCAGUUAUUUACCAAUAUCCUAUACUGCCUCCAUAGAACUGUAGAGAUUGUAGACAUGGAGAAGAGUGGUAAUUAAUGGAUUAAGAUCAGAAAAGACUGGAGGGGAUAAAGGGGAACAUUGGUGAGAGUUUUGGUCUUGAACAGGAGUGAGGAUAUUUAAUUCUUGAAGACCAGAAACCAGGCCUACAGGUGGAGGUGGUAAGUUUGGGGAUGGGAUGAGACAAUUGUCAAGUUUAAGAAUUUAAUCACAUCAAACUUUUCCCAUCAAAUACGUAGCUAUUUAUUAAAUUUAUACCUUGUUAUUAUAAAACAUAAACACAGAUAUGGAAAACUGCUGAGAAACAAAUGUAUAGCUUAUCAUGAACUAUUACAAGAUAUAACCAUCACCCAGGUAAAAGAAAUCAUCAGCCAAUCCAGAAACUCUCUUUGUGUUCCAUUCCAGUUAAAACCCUCUUUAUCUCUCGCAGUGUUACCAAUAUCUUAACAUUUAUGGCAAUGAGGUUUUUGUUUUUCUUACAGUUUUAGCAGAUGUGGGCAUUUCUAAACUCCACAUUUAAGUUUUUCCUUUUUUACUCUUUUGUCCUUUGAACCUCAACCUACAGAUUCCUCCUCAGUCUUUUUUCCUUGUCACGAAUUUGAUGAAGAAACCAGGUUUCCACCUGUUGAAUUUCCCAGAGUCUGGAUUUUGCUGAUUGAAUAUCUAUGAAAUAGCCAGUGUUGCUCCAGUGUGAUAGAUGAGGAGAGAAGCGGAAUUUCAAUGUCGUCUGUGUUGAGUCUCGCUGACCACUAACGCCUCCUUUGGAGGCAGACGCACGCCAACGCUAACAUCGGCCCUGCCCCAGGCAGUUAGAGAUUUGUGCUCCGGUCCUUGGGUUCACACUUGCACCCUGUUUGACAUAAAUACUUUAAAUGACAUACAACGUAUGUAGUUUUGUGCUUAUUACUUUUUAAAAGAAUAAAUAAUAGUAAAAACUGCAUAAACGAAGCUCGGUAUCUUGUCCAAGUGGGAGCCACACUUGUAGUGCUAGAAGUUGAUGCCCGACAUUAGAACUGGAAUUUUGUGUCAUCAAAUACCGAAAGAUGGAAAGCACGUCCUGUCCUGUCCUUUUCUCCUUAGAAAUGGUUUUUAUUAUGAAAUGACGGCAACUUGACUUCCCAGAUAUAAAAAUGGCGAAUGCGUAUUUGGUACCAACUUCAACUAAACAAGCGCGGUGGUGGCGGCUUUCUUCUUGCCCUGGAAUGGAAACUGGUCACCGCGUGAGGUUUGAGGGUCUGAGGACUGGCAGGAAGGCCUUUCUCUCAUGAGCCACGGUGUGACCUCCCUCCUGGCUCCCCCUUCUCUGGUUAAAAUGCUACAGGAGGAGUGAUUCUGCUCAUGCCCCUCAGGCCGUGGCUGUCAUGGCUCAUCUACGAAGGCUGUCCCUAUCCUGAGAGCUCUUGUGGCAGGUGCCUUAAUAUAUAGCUAUAAAUAUCAAAAAUAGUCUCCUGUGCUUUGUAGACAUUUAUUCUCCCUCCCUCCCUUCCUCCCUUCCUACCCGGCCUGGGUCCUCAGCUUGACCUCAUGGAGGGAGCUGGACUGGUGUCAUGAGCCAGAACUGGUUUCCUUCUAGAACAGAAUCUUCUUUGACAAUGCCUCCAUGAGGCACAGCUCUUAAUGGGGCUGUCUGGGAGUUACAUUUUUUAAAAAAUAAAACGGGGGUAUUCACCCCCACCCAGGAGAGAUCCUCUAUUCUGCACGUAGAAAAAAUUAGAGCAAAUGCCCCACUCUGGCACUACCUGCGAAGAGCUUUGGGAAUUCCUGCAUUAUCCCUCUCAUGGCCUCCUCCUUCUCUCAGUACUUAAAAAUAGCCUUUUUGUUUAUCAAGAAAAUGCCUUGGAAAUCUAAAUAAUUCAUAUCGGACAAGAGAAAGCUAGCACGGUCACCUGUCCUCCAGCAAAAACAAGGUAGAGAAACCCAUGAAGGACAAAGGUUCUCCCAGCUGUCCCUAGGCUGCUCCCUGCGCUGUGGCUCCAGCCACAUCUGGCUCUGCAUGGGCAGCUGGACUCGUCCUCAGCCCAGCAGGAACCAGCAGGGACCUCCUAGGCCUUGUGCAGCACAGUAUUGUCCCUUCUCUUCUCUCGGCCACUGAAAAGUGUAGAU